UGACAACCAUUAUGUCAAGUCCGAAAU
rnacentral:piRNA from 1 species